GCGCAGCUGAUGCAGCACGCCGCGUGCGGGAAGACAGCCCUAGGGUUGUAAACCGCUUUCAGUAGGGAAGAAAAUGACGGUACCUACAGAAGAAGGUGCGGCCAACUACGUGCCAGCAGCCGCGGUGACACGUAGGCACCAAGCGUUAUCCGGAUUUAUUGGGCGUAAAGAGCUCGUAGGCGGUUUGGUAAGUCGGGUGUGAAAACUCAGGGCUUAACCCUGAGACGCCACCCGAUACUGCCAUGACUUGAGUACGGUAGGGGAGCGGGGAACUCCUGGUGUAGCGGUGAAAUGCGCAGAUAUCAGGAAGAACACCGGUGGCGAAGGCGCCGCUCUGGGCCGUAACUGACGCUGAGGAGCGAAAGCGUGGGUAGCAAACAGGAUUAGAUACCCUGGUAGUCCACGCCGUAAACGUUGGGCACUAGGUGUGGGUCUCAACCAACGAGAUCCGCGCCGUCGCUAACGCAUUAAGUGCCCCGCCUGGGGAGUACGGUCGCAAGACUAAAACUCAAGAGAAAUUGAACGGA
rnacentral:rRNA from 1 species